GAGCUAUCAAUCUGUCAAUCCUUCUGGUGUCCGGGCCUGGUGAGAUUUCCCGUGUUGAGUCAAAUUAAGCCACAGGCUCCACUCCUGGUGGUGCCCUUCCGUCAAUUACUUUAAGUUUCAGCUUUGCAACCAUACUUCCCCUGGAACCCACAAGCUUUGGUUUCCCGGAAGCUCCCUGACAAGUCAAAAAUAAAACGCCGUCAGAUCGCUAGCUGGCAUCGUUUAUGGUUAGAACUAGGGCGGUAUCUAAUCGCCUUCGAACCUCUAACUUUCGUUCUUGAUUAAUGAAAACAUUCUUGGCAAAUGCUUUCGCAGUAGUUUGUCUUCAAACGGUCCAAGAAUUUCACCUCUGUCGUUUGAAUACAAAUGCCCCCGACUGUCCCUAUUAAUCAUUAAGUCGAUUUCCGAAAACCAACAAAAUAGAAACGACUUCCUAUUCUAUUAUUCCAUGCACGAAUAUUCAAGCAAUCAAGCUUGCUUUGAGCACUCUAAUUUUUUCAAAGUAAACCUGUCAGUUCUAACAGACAAUCGGCGAAGAUCACCCGUUAAAUUCUGGCAAAACACACGGGUAAAAAAGUCAGUAUUGAAGCAAUUCAAACCAACCUAUACCCGCCGAAAUCCAACUACGAGCUUUUUAACCACAACAACUUUAAUAUACGCUAUUGGAGCUGGAAU
rnacentral:rRNA from 1 species